ACGUCAUUCACUGCUUUUCGGCGUCAACAAUAUAUUUAAAUUUAUAUUUAAAAAGACCUAAGUCAAAGGCCUUUUGAAAUGAAUUUGAAAUAUUAUCUCUUUUUUUAACGGUUUCAUUAUCAGUUGACUUAGCACUACUGCUGUACAUAAACAAGGUGUAAAUGUUGAAAUAAAAGGAGCACACGUUACGGUCUCUUUGUCCGAUGAUCCAGAUGUCAAAUCAAUGUUUAUUUCAACUAAAAUGGGGAAUGAAUGUAAUCCGGAAUACUACUACUUCAAGAACAGUGAAACGUUAAGCAUUAUACUAAAAGGCAAUCAGUACUCAAACGAAAUUGAUACGUUGCGGAUGCUUAGAAUAAUUGAAACAGAAGACGCAGUCUUAGCAGCAAGUAAUAAUUUUAAAAUUGAUGCCAAUGGUCAUGGCCAAAACCACAUUAUAGAUUUCAAU